rnacentral:lncRNA from 1 species
AUGGACCACAGCUGCUCAGAUGGCCGCACUCCUCCAUUGCACCCUGGGGCUUUGCCGUCCUCACUGCCCCAAUUCAUGGGGCCACCAUUCUGUAAGCAAUGGAACAGCACAUCCUUCAGCCACAGUUAUCAGGACUCGCCGCAUGUGUACCAGCAGUGCUUCCUGUGCUGUCCUGGCUCACGGAUGCGGUCAGCACGCUCAGCGCAGGCUCGUGGAGCAGGAGGUAUCCUUGGAAAUGAUUCUGGCCUAAAGCCUCGCAAGUUCCCUUCUCUCAGGCAGCCUCAAAACCAAAGCAAAGCUAAUGCUAUGGCCUCGCACUCUUCCAAUUGCAACUAACAUGCCUGCAGAGGCACAGAGCACAUUGAAUUUUAGCUCUCUGCCAGCAUUUGCUUACCUCAGCCACCCCCUGCAGCCUCCUGGGGAGCAGCUCAGAUCCCCAGGGGUCCCCCAGACCUCAGUGAUGGCUGUAGACCAGGAGCUGCCAGGCAGGAGCUGCUUAGAGUUAACAAAGGAGAACAGGCCAGCUGGGAAGAAAAGCCCCCCAGCCCCAGCCUGGCCCUGAGCAUCACAUCUCAAAGGAACUGCCUGAGGAAAGGACUUGUGAGUUCGGCCAUUCUGUAAGUAGGGAAAGGAAAGAGGGAAAGUAACUACGUUUGAUUUUCUUGUUUUGUUCUACAAAGAAGAAUAUGUGGCUUUUUAUUUUUUUAUAAAAGCUACAAUUCUGUUUCUAAGAUCCGAGUUUAAGAAAAACUCUUAGUCUAGAAUUUUGGUUUGCAAAGAAAGUCAUUGCAAUCCCUGUGUUAAAAAUCAUGUCCUACUAGAAACAAGCUCUACCGAAGGAAAAGGAACCAGGUGUGCAGUUUGUCUCCUUAAAGCGGUUUCUCUUUAAAAACAAAGUAAAAAUCUGUACAGGGAGACUGAGGACUAUAGUACACAUCUUCCUCGGAGAAAGCAGCGCUAUUACAUUCACAUGAGGGUGGCUCUGAGGAAGCCCGAGGGGAGGACUACAUUCCUGAUGGCUGCGUUUGUCAGCACGGGAAGAUGACCUCGAACUUCCCCGUUAAAAGUUUUGGGGGUUUUGUUUUUUUGGGAGAAAUCAAAACCUUAAAGCAGGGUAAAGAACCCGGCUGAAGGAAUGUGAAAAUGCAUCAUCUGCUUCCAAACUGACUGCCAUUGGCAUGGAUCACUGCACUCCUGAUGGCUUGGACUGUCAGACUGCCUGGCUGCCAUGUCCAGAGGAGACAGUCACUGUGCAGAGCCUGUCCUUCACUCACAGAAGGCUCUUACGUCCUAUUUUUUGUUCGUAAAAAUAGGAUGAGGUGGAGUUCAGUUUGAAAACACUGAGUGACAGAGAAUAAACAAACUAUUUUACCUUGCCCA